CAGAGAGAGAGAGAGAGAGAGAGAGAGAGAGAGAGAGAUACAAACAGACAUGGACAAAUGCAAUUUUUUUUUAAAUAACAUAAUGGUGUGUUGAAGGACGGAAGAAGUAAAAUGAUGUCAUUUUACAAUUUGCAUUGAUUCCUCUCUCUCUCCCUCUCUCUCUUUCCCUUCUAUU